rnacentral:rRNA from 1 species
GAUUACUAAAAUAUACCCUAUAUUGGUAUACACGAAUUAGGUUGAGCUAUUUGAAGAUAUCUAUUAGGGUAUAAUUUAUGUGUUGUAUUACAUAUAAAAUAUCUUCAAAUAGGGGUGACAUGCUAUACAAAUACUAGGAUAUCUUGAAGUAUAAUAAAUAUAUUAGUAUUUUUAGACAAAUAUAUAGUGAUUAGGCUUUAUAUUAGCAUUAUUUAAUUAAUCUCUAAUAAUAAAAUAUAUAACUAUAAUUAUUUUAUAAAUACCAACAUUAAAUAAUAAUAUAAUAUGCAGCAUAUUAUAUUUUAGAAUUUCACGAGUUUAUUCUAUAUAUAAUGUAAUUAUUAGUAAAAAAAUGUAGUUCAGAGAGAGGAACUCGGCAAAUAUCUUUUUCAACUGUUUACCAAAAACAUUGCUUUAUGUAUACUAUAUAAGGUUAACCCUGCUCAAUGGUAUUACUAAAUAGCCGCAGUACCUUGACUGUGCAAAGGUAGCAUAAUAAAUUGGCUUAUAAUUGAAGUCUAGUAUGAAUGGGUAUUUGGAAAUAUACUGUCUUUAUUCUGAGUAUGUUGAAAUUAAUUAUAAAGUGAAAAUGCUUUAAAAUACAGGUUAGACGAGAAGACCCUAUGAAAUUUUUUUAUAUAUGAACGGUUUUUAUUUUGUUGGGGCGACAGGGUAGCAAUUAAACCUACCUAUUUAUACACUAGAAUUUUCUUUGAUGAAUGAAUAAAUUACUCUAGGGAUAACAGCAUAAUAUAUAAAAGUUUGUGACCUCGAUGUUGGACUAGGGAAAGUAUUACCUAGAAGGGAAUAUUGUUAGCUCUGUUCGAGCAUAUUACCCCUACAUGAUCUGAGUUCAGACCGG